rnacentral:rRNA from 1 species
AGCGAACGCUGGCGGCAGGCCUAACACAUGCAAGUCGAACGAAGUCUUCGGACUUAGUGGCGGACGGGUGAGUAACACGUGGGAACGUGCCUUUAGGUUCGGAAUAACUCAGGGAAACUUGUGCUAAUACCGAAUGUGCCCCUCGGGGGAAAGAUUUAUCGCCUUUAGGGCGGCCCGCGUCUGAUUAGCUAGUUGGUGAGGUAAAGGCUCACCAAGGCGACGAUCAGUAGCUGGUCUGAGAGGAUGAUCAGCCACAUUGGGGCUGGGACACCGCCCAAACUCCUACGGGAGGCAGCCGUGGGGAAUCUUUCCCAAGGGGCGAAAGCCUGACGCAGCCAUGCCGCGUGAAUGAUGAAGGUCUUAGGAUUGUAAAAUUCUUUCACCGGGGACGAUAAUGACGGUACCCGGAGAAGAAGCCCCGGCUAACUUCGUGCCAGCAGCCGCAGUAAUAC